GAUGAACGCUGGCGGCGUGCUUAACACAUGCAAGUCGAACGGAAAGGCCCAAGCUUGCUUGGGUACUCGAGUGGCGAACGGGUGAGUAACACGUGGGUGAUCUGCCCUGCACUUCGGGAUAAGCCUGGGAAACUGGGUCUAAUACCGGAUAGGACGAUGGUUUGGAUGCCAUUGUGGAAAGUUUUUUCGGUGUGGGAUGAGCUCGCGGCCUAUCAGCUUGUUGGUGGGGUAAUGGCCUACCAAGGCGUCGACGGGUAGCCGGCCUGAGAGGGUGUACGGCCACAUUGGGACUGAGAUGCGGCCCAGACUCCUACGGGAGGCAGCAGGGGGGAAUAUUGCACAAUGGGCGCAAGCCUGAUGCAGCGACGCCGCGUGGGGGAUGACGGCCUUCGGGUUGUAAACUCCUUUCGCUAGGGACGAAGCGUUUUUGUGACGGUACCUGGAGAAGAAGCACCGGCUAACUACGUG
rnacentral:rRNA from 1 species